rnacentral:rRNA from 1 species
AAAUUGAAGAGUUUGAUCAUGGCUCAGAUUGAACGCUGGCGGCAGGCCUAACACAUGCAAGUCGAACGGUAACAGGAAACAGCUUGCUGUUUCGCUGACGAGUGGCGGACGGGUGAGUAAUGUCUGGGAAACUGCCUGAUGGAGGGGGAUAACUACUGGAAACGGUAGCUAAUACCGCAUAACGUCGCAAGACCAAAGAGGGGGACCUUCGGGCCUCUUGCCAUCGGAUGUGCCCAGAUGGGAUUAGCUUGUUGGUGGGGUAACGGCUCACCAAGGCGACGAUCCCUAGCUGGUCUGAGAGGAUGACCAGCCACACUGGAACUGAGACACGGUCCAGACUCCUACGGGAGGCAGCAGUGGGGAAUAUUGCACAAUGGGCGCAAGCCUGAUGCAGCCAUGCCGCGUGUAUGAAGAAGGCCUUCGGGUUGUAAAGUACUUUCAGCGGGGAGGAAGGGAGUAAAGUUAAUACCUUUGCUUAUUGACGUUACCCGCAGAAGAAGCACCGGCUAACUCCGUGCCAGCAGCCGCGGUAAUACGGAGGGUGCAAGCGUUAAUCGGAAUUACUGGGCGUAAAGCGCACGCAGGCGGUUUGUUAAGUCAGAUGUGAAAUCCCCGGGCUCAACCUGGGAACUGCAUCUGAUACUGGCAAGCUUGAGUCUCGUAGAGGGGGGUAGAAUUCCAGGUGUAGCGGUGAAAUGCGUAGAGAUCUGGAGGAAUACCGGUGGCGAAGGCGGCCCCCUGGACGAAGACUGACGCUCAGGUGCGAAAGCGUGGGGAGCAAACAGGAUUAGAUACCCUGGUAGUCCACGCCGUAAACGAUGUCGACUUGGAGGUUGUGCCCUUGAGGCGUGGCUUCCGGAGCUAACGCGUUAAGUCGACCGCCUGGGGAGUACGGCCGCAAGGUUAAAACUCAAAUGAAUUGACGGGGGCCCGCACAAGCGGUGGAGCAUGUGGUUUAAUUCGAUGCAACGCGAAGAACCUUACCUGGUCUUGACAUCCACAGAACUUUCCAGAGAUGGAUUGGUGCCUUCGGGAACUGUGAGACAGGUGCUGCAUGGCUGUCGUCAGCUCGUGUUGUGAAAUGUUGGGUUAAGUCCCGCAACGAGCGCAACCCUUAUCCUUUGUUGCCAGCGGUCCGGCCGGGAACUCAAAGGAGACUGCCAGUGAUAAACUGGAGGAAGGUGGGGAUGACGUCAAGUCAUCAUGGCCCUUACGACCAGGGCUACACACGUGCUACAAUGGCGCAUACAAAGAGAAGCGACCUCGCGAGAGCAAGCGGACCUCAUAAAGUGCGUCGUAGUCCGGAUUGGAGUCUGCAACUCGACUCCAUGAAGUCGGAAUCGCUAGUAAUCGUGGAUCAGAAUGCCACGGUGAAUACGUUCCCGGGCCUUGUACACACCGCCCGUCACACCAUGGGAGUGGGUUGCAAAAGAAGUAGGUAGCUUAACCUUCGGGAGGGCGCUUACCACUUUGUGAUUCAUGACUGGGGUGAAGUCGUAACAAGGUAACCGUAGGGGAACCUGCGGUUGGAUCACCUCCUUACCUUAAAGAAGC